UGAAGGGCAGGAGAGCAGGACCUAGCUGAUGUUCUGGCUUGGAGCGGAAGGUGAAGGCUGAAAAGACUACAAGAUGUGUGAGCGUGUGAGUGAGCCCCUGCCUCUUUGGGCCCACUGUCUGUGUGGGCAGAGUAGUGUCACACCAUCAGCACGUGAGGCUCGUGGGUGGACAGGAGGAAUUGUGUCCAUCUCCAUGGGAACCCAAGGAGGAAUGAAGAUGCAAUGCUUCUAGAUUCUCUUCCUCGUGUGAGUGACUAUGGAGCACAUCAAUCUAGGCUCAUCUUCAGAUCCCAUCACUUACCAAUCAGAGGAAAAAGUGAACUUAAAUCACAACAGGCUGAAGCCCUCCAAGUGGCCCCCAUGAGGACUGGAUCACCUGCAGCCUCACCUAGAUUCCUCAGGCUGAAACAACGUUCCUCCAGUUUUCACAACCUUCUGCAGCCGAGUGCCUCAAAACCCUGUUCCGUCUGCAUCCUCCGUGCGCUGCCGAGAGCGGCUCACACCCACCACUCCUCAUUCUCUACUCUCCACCUCGCCUUCUUCUCAUCCCCGCUGCAGAGUCAGAGCCCAGGCCUCUCCGACUGAACAGCAGAUGAUGCCAAGCAUCUUCUUGUUUUCUGAGUUUUACCGAAGCUCAGACAGGUGGUGCCAAAGUGCUGACCACGACCACAUACCCCACCGCCUCCCAGGACCCCUCUCCUCUCUCUUCCCUCCCAAACAGUAG
ensembl:lncRNA